rnacentral:rRNA from 1 species
AGUGAACGCUGGCGGUAGGCCUAACACAUGCAAGUCGAACGGCAGCACAGUAAGAGCUUGCUCUUACGGGUGGCGAGUGGCGGACGGGUGGGGAAUACAUCGGAAUCUACUUUUUCGUGGGGGAUAACGUAGGGAAACUUACGCUAAUACCGCAUACGACCUACGGGUGAAAGCAGGGGAUCUUCGGACCUUGCGCGAUUGAAUGAGCCGAUGUCGGAUUAGCUAGUUGGCGGGGUAAAGGCCCACCAAGGCGACGAUCCGUAGCUGGUCUGAGAGGAUGAUAGGCCAAACUGGAACUGAGACACGGUCCAGACUCCUACGGGAGGCAGCAGUGGGGAAUAUUGGACAAUGGGCGCAAGCCUGAUCCAGCCAUACCGCGUGGGUGAAGAAGGCCUUCGGGUUGUAAAGCCCUUUUGUUGGGAAAGAAAAGCAGCAGGUUAAUACCCCGCUGUUCUGACGGUACCCAAAGAAUAAGCACCGGCUAACUUCGUG